UACGGAGGGUGCAAGCGUUAUCCGGAUUCACUGGGUUUAAAGGGUGCGUAGGUGGGUUGGUAAGUCCGUGGUGAAAUCUCCGAGCUUAACUCGGAAACUGCCGUGGAUACUAUCAAUCUUGAAUACUGUGGAGGUAAGCGGAAUAUGUCAUGUAGCGGUGAAAUGCUUAGAUAUGACAUAGAACACCGAUAGCGAAGGCAGCUUGCUACACAGUUAUUGACACUGAGGCACGAAAAGCGUGGGGAGCAAACAGG
rnacentral:rRNA from 1 species